GAUUCUGCAUCAAGUGCACUCGUCGCUUCAUCUAGAAGUAGAAUUCGAGGGUCUUUCAGAAUUGCCCUUGCUAUUGCAAUCCUCUGCUUCUGCCCUCCGGACAGCUGAGUUCCAUGCUCCCCCACCAAGGUUAACGCCAUCGAUGAGCACCUCACCGGAUUGUGGAUCGUAGAAUCUCUCUAUCAAACUGAUCACGGUUGACUUGCCACUCCCACUCUCCCCAACCAAUGCUGCAGUAGUGCCACGAGGAAUGUGAAGAGAAAACCCACUGAAUAUGGCUUCGUCUGGCCUGGUUGGAUAGCUGAAAGUCACGUUCUUCAAAUCUAUGUCUCCCUGAAUAUCAUCCAAUGUUUUACCCUUUGGAUCAUAGACAUCAAUGCUUGGCUUCCUUUGAAUUGUCUCAAACAUUUUCGACGCAGCAGCUCGACCUGAUGCAAAGGCACUAAAGCACGGCAAUAUUUGCCCGAGGGACCUGAAAGAAAUUCGCAUGUGGAUACCUGUUUUAGCAAAAUGAAGCACAAAAUGGCAUGGACUUGUGGGUACUAAAGAUCGUCAUGAACUCACAUUGAGGCUUCCAAAACAGCUAAAAUGAUGGUGAUCACUUGUCCCCCAUCAUAUCCUUUCUCUAUAAUCAUCUUUCCACCAAACCAAACAGCUAAAGAGUAAGUACAAAAUAUGACCAGCAUUACCGUACCAAUUCCUAUUCCACCACCCAGAGCUUCCCUCACACCAGAUUUAUAAGCAUCUACCAGGAACUUCUGGUAACUGCUUAUAGCUUGCUUCUCACCCGUAAACGACGCAACCUAAGGACAGGACAAUCUCAAGGUUCAAGCUAAAGUCAUCUUUCCAAGUAAUAGAGUAUUGAAUUAUGUAUACCGUUCUUAUUGAGCCAAUGGUCUGUUCAACCACAUUUGCUGCAUUAGCAUAAGCACUUUGCCCUCUAGCAGCCAUUUGCGACAUGAAUCGAGAAAUCGUCGCUCCAGCUACCACAAGAAGUGGGAUAACAGAUACCAUUACCAGAGCCAGCUGCCAGCCUCUUAUGAAAGCUAUUGUGAAGCCUCCAAUGAAGUUUGUGAUUAGUUGGACAGUUUUCCCAACCUGCAUCAGAAGAACAGCAUCUUGAAUGAGGACUGUAUCACCAGACAUUCUGCUCACAACCUCUCCAGUGCUUGUUUCUUUGUCGAAGUAGCCGACAUCUUGUCUCAAUAUAGCUUUCAAAUACAGCCCUCUGAUCCGAGCAGCCUGUCUCUCCCCCGUCACGAUCCAGCAACACACCUCUGCAGGUACGUUAUCUAAUUAAACUCAUCCCAUUUCAUUUAUGUGCCUAUGUAUUAGACUUUGAUUUUGGUAUCCACUUACGGAGAAACGCCGCGACAGCCACUCCCACGGCCAAGUACACAAAUUUUAGGCACACCUGAAUUCAUAGAUUAGUUGAUAAGGCAAUGAAGAUCAUACCAUACUUGUAAAAUGGAUUGGUUAGAAGUUUUGUUUAACCUUGGAAACUUUAGAAACUAUGCUGUGGGUAUCCUGGUUGCUUCCAAACGUUUGGAUGAGCUCUCCAAAGAGCAG